rnacentral:rRNA from 1 species
AGAGUUUGAUCCUGGCUCAGGAUGAACGCUGGCGGCGUGCUUAACACAUGCAAGUCGAACGAAGCACUUUACCACGAUUCCUUCGGGAUGACGGUUUAGUGACUGAGUGGCGGACGGGUGAGUAACGCGUGGGGAACCUGCCCCAUACCGGGGGAUAACAGCCGGAAACGGCUGCUAAUACCGCAUAAGCGCACAGUACCGCAUGGUACGGUGUGAAAAACUCCGGUGGUAUGGGAUGGACCCGCGUCUGAUUAGCCAGUUGGCGGGGUAACGGCCCACCAAAGCGACGAUCAGUAGCCGGCCUGAGAGGGCGACCGGCCACAUUGGGACUGAGACACGGCCCAGACUCCUACGGGAGGCAGCAGUGGGGAAUAUUGCACAAUGGGGGAAACCCUGAUGCAGCGACGCCGCGUAAGUGAGGAAGUAUUUCGGUAUGUAAAGCUCUAUCAGCAGGGAAGAAGAAAUGACGGUACCUGACUAAGAAGCCCCGGCUAACUACGUGCCAGCAGCCGCGGUAAUACGUAGGGGGCAAGCGUUAUCCGGAUUUACUGGGUGUAAAGGGAGCGCAGGCGGCAUGAUAAGUCUGAUGUGAAAACCCAAGGCUCAACCAUGGGACUGCAUUGGAAACUGUCGUGCUGGAGUGUCGGAGAGGUAAGCGGAAUUCCUAGUGUAGCGGUGAAAUGCGUAGAUAUUAGGAGGAACACCAGUGGCGAAGGCGGCUUACUGGACGAUGACUGACGCUGAGGCUCGAAAGCGUGGGGAGCAAACAAAAUUAGAUACCCUGGUAGUCCACGCCGUAAAC